AUGAAUAUGGAAGUCUCCUGUCAGGCUAGGUACCUCCCCCGGGGUCCAUCUUGGAUUGUUGGAAACACUGAGUCACUGGGAUGUGGAAGUGCGGCAAACUCAAGCAAAGCCUCAGCGGCCUUGUGGAGCGAAGGCUUAGCAACUUUGUUUCCUUUUCGAUUGGAGCCCCCAGCACUACUGGAUCAUCUCCUUCAACAAUGUCCUGGGAAAGCUUGCUUGCCUCUUCUGCAGAUAACUCCCAUUACUGAGUUUGGAGGUGAGAAUAAAAGGUGAGCCUGGAACAGUCUGAAGCCUAGAAUGUAGAACUCAGCCUGAGCCUUCUUUGUGGGUUGCAAGAAUCCAAGUAUUUGAGUCAUCAAGUACUGCCUCUCAAAGUACACAUAUAAAGAGUCAGGAUUUUCUGCUUGGCUGAUGGCAGGCACCUGCUCUUUGUCUUGAUUGCCUUUGUAAGGCAGAAGAUGAUGGCACAAAAACCUGGGUUCCUGCCACUCAUUUCAGACACCCAGAUGGAGUUCCUGGUUCUUAGGUUUGUCUUGACACAGCCCUGACUGCUGCAGGCAUGUUGGUAGUAGACCAGCAGAUGCAAGAUCUUUCUCUCCCUCUGUCUCUCUCACUCUG